UCAACAUUGAAUAACACAAUUAAAUUUUGCUUCUUCUCUCUCUAUCAUCUGAAGAUAAUUUUGGUCAUUCCAUGGAAAUCGAUGAUCUUCACAUGGUAUCAGAGCAGGGAUUCAGAUUCCGCUCGUCACUGGCUUCGUCGCGAUGUUACCCUCAUCGUUUUUCGUCGGAGUUUCUGUGCUCUCUGGCAAAUCUAGAUUUUUCUCGUUUUCUCUGGAUAUUCUUCGGUAAUUGUUGAUUUCUCUGAGUUUCACACUUCCUCUCGUCAGUUCAAACAUAAGAGUAAGUCGAUUCCUAAUGUUUUGUGUAUCUAGGAGCAGUUAGGGUUUGUAUCUUACAAGUUUCAAGCCCGAUAACGUUUCUCAGUCGAAAAUGGUUAAUGUUGGUGAUACCUCUGAGUCUAGGAUUGAUAAUUUCGUAAUUACCCC
rnacentral:lncRNA from 1 species